GACGAACGCUGGCGGCGUGCUUAACACAUGCAAGUCGAGCGGUAAGGCCUUUCGGGGUACACGAGCGGCGAACGGGUGAGUAACACGUGGGUGACCUGCCCUCCACUCUGGGAUAAGCCCGGGAAACUGGGUCUAAUACCGGAUAUGACCUUCUCCUGCAUGGGGGUUGGUGGAAAGUUUUUCGGUGGGGGAUGGGCCCGCGGCCUAUCAGCUUGGUGGUGGGGUGAUGGCCUACCAAGGCGACGACGGGUAGCCGGCCUGAGAGGGCGACCGGCCACACUGGGACUGAGACACGGCCCAGACUCCUACGGGAGGCAGCAGUGGGGAAUAUUGCGCAAUGGGCGAAAGCCUGACGCAGCGACGCCGCGUGGGGGAUGACGGCCUUCGGGUUGUAAACCUCUUUCGCCAGGGACGAAGCGCAAGUGACGGUACCUGGAUAAGAAGCACCGGCCAACUACGUGCCAGCCGCCGCCGUAA
rnacentral:rRNA from 1 species